rnacentral:rRNA from 1 species
CGAAGACAACGCGAAGAACCUUACCAGGCCUUGACAUGCAGAGAACUUUCCAGAGAUGGAUUGGUGCCUUCGGGAACUCUGACACAGGUGCUGCAUGGCUGUCGGUCAGCUCCGUGUCGUGAGAUGUUGGGUUAAGUCCGUAACGAGCGCAACCCUUGUCCUUAGUUACCAGCACGUUAUGGUGGGCACUCUAAGGAGACUGCCGGUGACAAACCGGAGGAAGGUGGGGAUGACGUCAAGUCAUCAUGGCCCUUACGGCCUGGGCUACACACGUGCUACAAUGGUCGGUACAAAGGGUUGCCAAGCCGCGAGGUGGAGCUAAUCCCAUAAAACCGAUCGUAGUCCGGAUCGCAGUCUGCAACUCGACUGCGUGAAGUCGGAAUCGCUAGUAAUCGUGAAUCAGAAUGUCACGGUGAAUACGUUCCCGGGCCUU